rnacentral:rRNA from 1 species
CCUACGGGUGGCUGCAGUGGGGAAUAUUGGACAAUGGGGGCAACCCUGAUCCAGCCAUGCCGCGUGUGUGAAGAAGGCCCUCGGGUUGUAAAGCACUUUCAGUGAGGAAGAACGCCUGGUGGUUAAUACCCAUCAGGAAAGACAUCACUCACAGAAGAAGCACCGGCAUAACUCCGUGCCAGCAGCCGCGGUAAUACGGAGGGUGCGAGCGUUAAUCGGAAUUACUGGGCGUAAAGCGCGCGUAGGUGGCUUGAUAAGCCGGUUGUGAAAGCCCCGGGCUCAACCUGGGAACGGCAUCCGGAACUGUCAAGCUAGAGUGCAGGAGAGGAAGGUAGAAUUCCCGGUGUAGCGGUGAAAUGCGUAGAGAUCGGGAGGAAUACCAGUGGCGAAGGCGGCCUUCUGGACUGACACUGACACUGAGGUGCGAAAGCGUGGGUAGCAAACAGGAUUAGAUACCCUUGUAGUC